GGAAGGAAUACCUAGAGAACCGACUCGUACCCCCCUUGCCUAAAACACCCGCAAAUUUCAUUUGAGGUGAAUAGAAGAGAACUCUCUUAUUUUUCUCUUUUUUUCUUAUCCGUGAAUACGUGUGAGUGGUGGAUUCAGAAAAAAGAUGGCGGUUGUAGCUCAAAAAAAAAAAUUCUUAAGUGACAGCUGACAGCUGUCAAUUUCUGAUAAUUAUUUUGUUUUGGUUGCAAAAUAAAAGUUUUUUUCAAGUUAGUUUAUAAAAAAUGUGCAAAAGUUAGAUGAGAACAAUGAUAAUUAAUUAAUAAUCGGUCCAAUUCUGGAAAUGUGUUACCCCAUCCAGCUAAUGCCACAACCCAAAAUAUUGGUCGCUUGUCCCAAUAAGAAAAUAAUCAUAGCAAGCCCUCAAAAUUCUUACAAAUUCCAAAACCUACAAACCAUAACAACAACAGCAGCGGUCUAUCGAAUUCAACAACGCAAAAAAAAUAAUAUUCAGGAAUAACCACCAUAUAGCAGGACUGGGAUGAUAAUAGUCUUGUAUGUGGACACAUUACUUGUUCCAGCGACAAUAUUUUGGUGGUCAGUUGCAUUCUAAAACCAAAGCAAGAAUAAUCCUUCGUUUAAUUUCAGUGCUGAGGUGACAAAAAGCACCCUCGAAGUAAUAAGACUAGAAGCUGAAUUAGAAUUAGAAGUAGUCGGUUGCCAAAUGCCUUGGGGCGUCUUGAUGGGAUGUCCUUUAAAGUAUCCUAUUUUAGUGAAGCAUUUAAAGUUCGUACAAAAGAAUCAAAAGAUGAUUUUCCCAAUCGACACGAUUGGGAUAUAUUCUUUCGUGAUGCUCAUUACAUGGAUGAAAUGAAAGCUGGCGAAAGACCCGACACAAUUCAUUUUGCAAAUCUACCAAUUCGUUGGUUUUGUCCACGUCACAGUGAAAAUGAUGAAAAUGUCAAGCCCAGCGAAAGUAUAUUCAAAAGAAUAAUUGAAUAGUUUGGUGUUGUUCGGGCAGUAGAUAUUCGAAUAUGUGAUGUUUUUCGACAAAAGAUGAGCUCGACUGUCAAUGGAAUUCAGGUGCAUAAUUUUGAACAGGAUCUUCUUUUCGAAGGAUAUGUUCAAUUUGAAGAGUACAUUGGAUUUCCUUCCAGCCCAGUAAAGAUGGGAAAUCUGGUAUUGAGGGAGUUAGAAAGAUUACACCCUGUAUAGCAGAUUCUAUGACCCCCAAAAUCCCCGUAUGGUUUUUGUUUUGAAACAAAUACAAAUUAAAUGAAACUUUCAUUAAAUUUUAGCAUAAUUAUGUAUAUAUUUAGUUCAUCCAUUAGGAUAAUUGGAACGUCCUGGUUUUAGCUGCUUACAAUGCUUAUUUUUUUUUUCCAGUUACAUAUAAUAUAAUCACCCAUAUAGGAAUAUAUAAAUGUGUUAUGUUACAUUGUACAAGCGCUAAGCUUAAUUAAUA